rnacentral:rRNA from 1 species
AUUGAACGCUGGCGGCAGGCCUAACACAUGCAAGUCGAGCGGAUGAAGGGAGCUUGCUCCUGGAUUCAGCGGCGGACGGGCGAGUAAUGCCUAGGAAUCUGCCUGGCAGUGGGGGAUAACGUCCGGACACGGGCGCUAAUACCGCAUACGUGCAGAGGGAGAAAGUGGGGGAGCUUCGGACCUCACGCUAUUAGAUGAGCCUAGGUCGGAUUAGCUAGUUGGUGGGGUAAAGGCCUACCAAGGCGACGAUCCGUAACUGGUCUGAGAGGAUGAUCAGUCACACUGGAACUGAGACACGGUCCAGACUCCUACGGGAGGCAGCAGUGGGGAAUAUUGGACAAUGGGCGAAAGCCUGAUCCAGCCAUGCCGCGUGUGUGAAGAAGGUCUUCGGAUUGUAAAGCACUUUUAGUUGGGAAGAAGGGCAGUAAGUUAAUACCUUGCUGUUUUGACGUUACCAACAGAAUAAGCACCGGCUAACUUCGUG